rnacentral:sRNA from 1 species
UCCUAGCCCUGAUAGCAGUGGAAAUCCUUUUAUUUUUUCUUCAACCAAUCACUUAAAGUAGAAAAAAUAAAAGAUUGCAACGAAUAGCAGGAAACAGC